GAUCAUGGCUCGGGACGAACGCUGGCGGCGCGCCUAACACAUGCAAGUCGAACGGAGCUUAGAGAGCUUGCUUUUUAAGCUUAGUGGCGAACGGGUGAGUAACGCGUGAGUAACCUGCCCUAGAGUGGGGGACAACAGUUGGAAACGACUGCUAAUACCGCAUAAGCCCACGGUGCCGCAUGACACUGAGGGAAAAGGAUUUAUUCGCUUUAGGAUGGACUCGCGUCCAAUUAGCUAGUUGGUGAGGUAACGG
rnacentral:rRNA from 1 species